rnacentral:lncRNA from 1 species
GGGAGGGGGGGUAAUUUUCUCCCGUUAUCUGGUGCCUCCAGCUGUGAGCCACGCUGACAGCCCUGGGGCUGAUCAAACAGCCAGCGGUCUGCAUUCAGCAUCCCAUCUGCAUGGUCACAAAUAAUGUCAGCACGUCCCCGGUCCCGGCAGUAACACAUGAGUGUGUCCCUCCUCCUGCUGCAGUGCCGGGCUCCUGCCUCUGCUGCUCGUGGCACGGGGCCGUUCGGCUUCAGCAUGGCAUCGUCCCCCAAUGGCACAAUCGUGGGCAAACCUCUGAGCAGCAGAGAGAUGCUAAGUGCCAGGCUUUGAAGGCACAUGGGAGCUGCACGAGGCUGGGACAGGCCGAAUUCCUCCCCUUUCCCUGCUUCACUGCUGGACAUGGACAGGGACUCCUCCAGCAGUGCCACGCUGGGAGCACAGCAGCAGCAUUCCCCAGGCAAGUGGUGUUUUAAUGCCUUUUCUCUACAUUUUUUUUGUGUGUUGGAAGGAGUGUGGUGGCGAUCUGGGGGGCUGGAGGUGCCUGGGGAGUGAGCACACAGCUCCCAGUCGGUCCUGACUCAUAAUUAUUGGUCCUGCGAAAGGAGGCGGUGGCUCCCCGUGUGCUGCUGCAUUAGCGAGGCACUCAGGGACAUUUCGGCAGGCAGCUGCCCAGCUCUCUCCCUGUCAUUUUGUGGGUGGGCUGCAGGGCUCUGCGCUCAGAUGUGCAUUCUGACGGUGCAGCGAGCCCUGCUGAGGAGGACAGGGCACAAACUGCUUGUUUUGUAGGGCAGCACGCAGCUGACAGGGCCACCAAACUGUUGCCCCUGUCCCCAGCCGGGUGGGAGCAGCGUGAGGAGGAGGGAUGCUGCCCCCGUGUUGGCAUCGGGGUGGCCCCGGCCUUGUUCCUGGCAGCAGGGGAUGGGCCAUGGGGCUGAGCUGCCAAUGGCCACGGCUGGUCACCCAAAAAGCUGUCAAGGAUGCGGUCAGAAGAGCUUCAUCGGGAUGCAAAUAGAUGUAAAUUCAUGUAAACAUAUGUCUCGGCGCAGGUAGCUACUCGUGCCCAAAUUAUGCAAAUGUUCUAAUCCAAUAACGCUAAUGUCAUGAUUAGCCGGUGACACGGUGUUCAUUAAUAUGGUUCCCUGGCUCUUACACCCAUCACUGUCAGCAUGAUUAUGCUGAGGCAGAGACUCGCCGUGUCACCGGCGAGCAGAGCCAGUGUCAGGGAGUGAAGGGGAUACCCAGGUCCUGGGGCCACCAGGAGGGUCCCUGGGGAACGUCCUCGCAUGGUCCAGGCGAGGUCCUGGGGAUCCCAUUCCUCCCAGAGGGAGCUCAGAGCAGGCUUCCCAAAAAGCCUGCAGAGCAGCUAAACAAGCAAUCCUCAACAUCCGUCGCUGCGAUCAGAUGAAGAGGACUAGCAGGGCCAUCUAGUGACUCCUCUGGCUGCUUAAUGACCUGGGAGGUGCCCCCCC